GACGAACGCUGGCGGCGUGCUUAACACAUGCAAGUCGAACGGUAAGGCCCUUCGGGGUACACGAGUGGCGAACGGGUGAGUAACACGUGGGUGAUCUGCCCUGCACUUCGGGAUAAGCCCGGGAAACUGGGUCUAAUACCGGAUAGGACCACUGCCUGCAUGGGUGGUGGUGGAAAGCUUUUGCGGUGUGGGAUGGGCCCGCGGCCUAUCAGCUUGUUGGUGGGGUGAUGGCCUACCAAGGCGACGACGGGUAGCCGGCCUGGGAGGGUGACCGGCCACACUGGGACUGAGAUACGGCGCAGACUCCUACGGGAGGCAGCAGUGGGGAAUAUUGCACAAUGGGCGCAAGCCUGAUGCAGCGACGCCGCGUGAGGGAUGACGGCCUUCGGGUUGUAAACCUCUUUCAGCACCGACGAAGCGCAAGUGACGGUAGGUGCAGAAGAAGGACCGGCCAACUACGUGCCAGCCGCCGCAGUAA
rnacentral:rRNA from 1 species